AGCAGCCGCGGUAAUUCCAGCUCCAAUAGCGUAUAUUAAAGUUGUUGCAGUUAAAAAGCUCGUAGUUGAACUUCGGGGUUUACCCAUUGGUCAGGCUUAAUUGUCUGUACUGGUGAGAUGAAUCUCUACCUUCUGAGGAACUUUCAUGCCAUUUAUUUGGUGUGAUGGGAAAUCAGGACUGUUACCUUGAAAAAAUUAGAGUGUUUAAAGCAGGCUAACGUCUGAAUACAUUAGCAUGGAAUAAUGAAAUAGGACGGACUGAUCCUAUUUCGUUGGUUUCUAGGAUCACCGUAAUGAUUAAUAGGGAUAGUUGGGGGCAUUAGUAUUCAAUUGUCAGAGGUGAAAUUCUUGGAUUUAUUGAAGACUAACUACUGCGAAAGCAUUUGCCAAGGAUGUUUUCAUUAAUCAAGAACGAAAGUUAGGGGAUCGAAGACGAUCAGAUACCGUCGUAGUCUUAACCAUAAACUAUGCCGACUAGGGAUCGGACGAAGUUAAUUUUAUAAUGACGCGUUCGGCACCU
rnacentral:rRNA from 1 species